UGUGUAGGGGUGACAGUGUGGAGAGGGGUGACAUAGUGUCACCCCCUCCACACUGUCACCCCUACACACACUCUCACAC
rnacentral:miRNA from 1 species